UGGGGAAUAUUGCACAAUGGGCGCAAGCCUGAUGCAGCCAUGCCGCGUGUAUGAAGAAGGCCUUCGGGUUGUAAAGUACUUUCAGCGGGGAGGAAGGCGAUAAGGUUAAUAACCUUGUCGAUUGACGUUACCCGCAGAAGAAGCACCGGCUAACUCCGUGCCAGCAGCCUCGGUAAUACGGAGGGUGCAAGCGUUAAUCGGAAUUACUGGGCGUAAAGCGCACGCAGGCGGUCUGUCAAGUCGGAUGUGAAAUCCCCGGGCUCAACCUGGGAACUGCAUUCGAAACUGGCAGGCUAGAGUCUUGUAGAGGGGGGUAGAAUUCCAGGUGUAGCGGUGAAAUGCGUAGAGAUCUGGAGGAAUACCGGUGGCGAAGGCGGCCCCCUGGACAAAGACUGACGCUCAGGUGCGAAAGCGUGGGGAGCAAACA
rnacentral:rRNA from 1 species